ACCAGUGUGGUGUAGUGGUCUGAACAUUGGACUAUGAUUCUGGAGACCAGGGUUAGAAUCUCUGCUUAGUUA
rnacentral:tRNA from 1 species